AGCGGAAUGCCAAAAACACGUAAAUUACCAAACUUUCUUGACUAAAAAGAAAAAGCAGCUCAAACCGGACCCCACUACAAAAAGUUGUUUGUGGUGAACUUUUAGAAGAAUUCAUUACAUUUGACAGGGAUUGAUUAUUUUUGUAGGGAACAGCAAUUUAGUUCUUGCGAAAAGACUAUGGUCAAUUCUUGUGCAUUUAUGCUAGUCUCCUUCAAGAAAAGGUGCGAUGACGAUGACGUAUUUUCCUUUUUGAUUCAAUCGUGAAAGGAACCAGCUUAUACCUUCUUGGGCCACACUCUCCCACUGAUGUUCGUCCGUGUGAUCGUCGAUCUGUUUGAGUCUCGCAUGCAAAGAGUCUUUUAGCAUCUUGACAGAACUUCGUAAUCGCUCGUCAUUAGAAUGAAGGAGAAAUAUGGCUACUGAUGACAUUUGCCCAUGUGUACUUCUGUCGCUGCAUUUCCUCUUCUUUGCUUCGUUGUGUUUCUUCCUUAGAAAAAUGACGGUCGCCGUCAAACAGCUUAAUAAAAGAAAAUUUACCAAUCCAGUGACAACUAUUUUCUGGUGAUUCGAGUCGUGUUACUUGAUCUUGUACAUGGAAGAUUUGUCGACGAAAGAGGAUAUAUGCAUCUGACAUCGACGGGGGUAACCUGUUGGAGCAAAAUAAAAUUAAUUCAAAAUAGCAGCCGCUUGGUUAUACAUAUGUUGAUUAAAGAAAGAAAGAUAACAUGAGCAACGAUAACAAAUCGCAAGGAAAGGUAAACAAUUGCCUCUAGCAGCAAUACAUUAAACAAAACAAAUUAAUAGAGGCUUUGCAAAAAGAAAGUGAGAAAUCAUAAGAAUAAAGAAACGGCCUCUCCUUCUCCUGUAAACAGCAAGUUUCCUCUUCGCACAGAACGGUUUUGAUCUCGUAAGUAUGCUGUUUAACAUAGUGCACUGUUAAAUGUCGUAAUCCAUUUAACGUUUUGCGGUUCCUAUGCGUUACAUCACUGUUCUUCAAUUUUCUGGAUUCCGUAAGAAAAUGGACUUAGUCUGAAUGUUCCGAUCCCGAAUCGUCUCUCAAUGUCAUCAGUUUUGAUUUGUCCGUCAUUUCUUACCCUUUUCACGCCCUGUCCAUAUAAAUUGACGACAGAAUGCUUUAGUUUGUAAAUUCCCUCCUUUAAGGCUAGGUUAGCUUUGAUGCUGGCUGUAGAAUGUUUUUCUUGAUCUGGAGAAAUACAGGAUAGGUAAGAGAAAGGUUGGCAGAUGCUGAAGCGACUCUGACCCGCCAGUGCUCUCGUUGGAUGGAAUUCUUGAAACUCGUUUAAGACAUGGUUUGAAAGAAAGGCUGCGAGUUGGAUUCGUAUCAGUAGUGACCAACUCGUUAUCUCUUUUUGAAAGCUCUCCCUCGGAAGACGCGGUAGGUUGGCCUUUCAACAAAUUACUGCUCAUUGACUGUCUUAUAGGAAUCGUGCGGGAUCCAAAAGACGUUUUGAAAGAAUCCUUAUUUUGGAUCUUGCGCAAGUUUUCGCCAACAAUGAGGUCGGCUGUCAACUUAUCACCACGAGAUACUGAUGUUGUUUUUGCCUGAAAGUAACUUUUUUUUUUUUACUAAGAAAACCAAGCUUAUCUAAUUA
rnacentral:lncRNA from 1 species